GAAAAGAUAAGCUAAACCUAAGCUUACGGGCUCAUACCCCGUCUAUGAAAUCUUUUUCUCUUUUCA
rnacentral:tRNA from 1 species